rnacentral:rRNA from 1 species
GACGAACGCUGGCGGCGUGCUUAACACAUGCAAGUCGAACGAAGUGGCGAACGGGUGAGUAACGCGUAAUCAACCUGCCCUUCAGAGGGGGACAACAGUUGGAAACGACUGCUAAUCCCGCAUACUGAAGGAGGGGAUGGCGUCGGAUUAGCUAGGUGGAGGGGUAACGGCCCACCAAGGUGAUGAUCAGGAGCCUGUCUUAGGGGGAGAACGGCCACAUGGGGACUGAGACACGGCCCAGAAUCCUACGGGAGGCAGCAGUGGGGAAACUUCCGCAAUGGACGGAAGUCUGACGGAGCAACGCCGCGUGGUUGAUGACGGCCUUCGGGUUGGAAAGCUCUGUUAAUCGGGACGCGGUACCGGAAUAGAAAGCCACGGCUAACUACGUGCCAGCAGCCGCGGUAAUAC